UACGUAGGGGGCAAGCGUUGUCCGGAAUCAUUGGGCGUAAAGCGCGUGUAGGCGGCUCGAUAAGUCUGCUGUGAAAGUUCAGGGCUCAACCCUGAAAUGCCGGUGGAAACUGUCGAGCUAGAGUACGGAAGAGGUGAGUGGAAUCCUGGUGUAGCGGUGAAAUGCGCAGAUAUCAGGAGGAACACCAAUGGCGAAGGCAGCUCACUGGGACGUUACUGACGCUGAGACGCGAAAGCGUGGGGAGCAAACAGG
rnacentral:rRNA from 1 species